AACGAACGCUGGCGGCGCGCCUAAUACAUGCAAGUCGAGCGAGAAGACGUAGCAAUACGUUUGUAAAGCGGCGAACGGGUGAGGAAUACAUGGGUAACCUACCCUCGAGUGGGGAAUAACUAGCCGAAAGGUUAGCUAAUACCGCGUACGCUCCUUGGACUUCGGUUCAGGGAGGAAAGCGAUACCGUGGGUAUCGCGCUCUUGGAUGGGCUCAUGUCCUAUCAGCUUGUUGGUGAGGAACGGCUCACCAAGGCUUCGACGGGUAGCUGGUCUGAGAGGACGAUCAGCCACACUGGCACUGCGACACGGGCCAGACUCCUACGGGAGGCAGCAGUAAGGAAUAUUGCGCAAUGGGCGAAAGCCUGACGCAGCGACGCCGCGUGGGGGAUGAAGGUCUUCGGAUUGUAAACCCCUUUCGGGAGGGAAGAUGGAACGAGCAAUCGUUCGGACGGUACCUCCAGAAGCAGCCACGGCUAAC
rnacentral:rRNA from 1 species